UACGGAGGGUGCGAGCGUUGUCCGGAAUCACUGGGCGUAAAGGGCGCGUAGGCGGCCUGAUAAGUAGGGGGUGAAAUCCUGCGGCUUAACCGCAGGGCUGCCUUCUAAACUGUCGGGCUUGAGCACAGUAGAGGCAGGUGGAAUUCCCGGUGUAGCGGUGAAAUGCGUAGAUAUCGGAAGGAACAUCAGUGGCGAAAGCGACUUCCUGGACCAAUACUGACGCUCAUGUGCGAAAGCGUGGGAGCAAACAGG
rnacentral:rRNA from 1 species